UCGAGGGGUAUAUUUCUUCGGAGAUAGAGACCGGCGCACGGGUGCGUAACGCGUAUGCAAUCUACCUUUCACAGAGGGAUAGCCCAGAGAAAUUUGGAUUAAUACCUCAUAGUAUUACGAAAUGGCAUCAUUUUGUAAUUAAAGUCACAACGGUGAAAGAUGAGCAUGCGUCCCAUUAGCUAGUUGGUAAGGUAACGGCUUACCAAGGCCACGAUGGGUAGGGGUCCUGAGAGGGAGAUCCCCCACACUGGUACUGAGACACGGACCAGACUCCUACGGGAGGCAGCAGUGAGGAAUAUUGGACAAUGGGCGCAAGCCUGAUCCAGCCAUGCCGCGUGCAGGAUGACGGUCCUAUGGAUUGUAAACUGCUUUUGCACAGGAAGAAACAACGCUACGUGUAGCGUCUUGACGGUACUGUGAGAAUAAGGAUCGGCUAACUCCGUGCCAGCAGCCGCGGUAAUACGGAGGAUCCAAGCGUUAUCCGGAAUCAUUGGGUUUAAAGGGUCCGUAGGCGGUUUAGUAAGUCAGUGGUGAAAGCCCAUCGCUCAACGGUGGAACGGCCAUUGAUACUGCUAGACUUGAAUUAUUAGGAAGUAACUAGAAUAUGUAGUGUAGCGGUGAAAUGCUUAGAGAUUACAUGGAAUACCAAUUGCGAAGGCAGGUUACUACUAAUGGAUUGACGCUGAUGGA
rnacentral:rRNA from 1 species